CAAUAGCGUAUAUUAAAGUUGUUGCAGUUAAAAAGCUCGUAGUUGAAUUUUUGCUUGCCGCCGAUGUCGGAACUUCCGUACGUUCGGCGGCGUGCAUCCUUGGGUGGAACCUGUGUGGCAUUAGGUUGUCGUGAAGGGGAUGCUCAUCGUUUACUGUGAAAAAAUUAGAGUGUUCAAAGCAGGCUUACGCCGUUGAAUAUAUUAGCAUGGAAUAAUAAGAUAGGACCUUGGUACUAUUUUGUUGGUUUGCGCACCGAGGUAAUGAUUAACAGGGACAGUUGGGGGUAUUCGUAUUCCAUUGUCAGAGGUGAAAUUCUUGGAUUUCUGGAAGACGAACUACUGCGAAAGCAUUUACCAAGGAUGUUUUCAUUAA
rnacentral:rRNA from 1 species